GAAGCAGUGUAUCCAUUUUUUCCUCUCGGAACGUUGGCCUCCCACGUCAAACAUUCUGCCAGAGAAUAGGGCACCUCCUGGGACACCACCCGCAAAUCUCCUGGCCCCAGGCUCCCCCUUCACCAGAGGAGGAGGGGGCCUGACCCAUCCCUCCCAGAAAAACAAAUGAUUCACCAGCCCCUAGAGACAGAAACACAAAUCUACUGUGAACUACCCGAGGGCAUGCCUUCUAUGAGACUGUGUUACCUGUGUUUGAUAACACCCCCAGUGCCCUGCACUCAGGAAGCGCUCCUUGAGUGAAUAAAGACCUAUGAGUAAGUGGAUGGGCUGAGUGGACUCAAAAACACAAUUGAGAAAAGGAUCGGGACAAAGGCUGUCCCCCAGGUCAGUUGAACUGUCUCCAAGAGGACCAUGGCAGGGUCAAGGAACCCAAGGACUAUUCCAUCCCCAAGGGAAGGGUAUCCAGGACACCAGCCCUCCCCUCCCAGGGAAGUCAUUUGUUGAUUUAUCCAGUGAACAUUUGGGGGUGCCUGCUACAUCCAUAAUCUUACGGCAGAGGCGGUCUAGACACCAGAUAAGGAGAAGCCUGAAAUAACCUCGAACCUGGAGGUUAGCUCCGAUCCCCUCUCUAGACCACCCCCAGAACUCUCCCUGGAACCUUGCAGAGACAGAAAGGACAGGAAAGAACAAUGCUUGAACAAUGACCAUCCCCCUCCCCAUCUACCACAAAAUGGACUCAGAGACAACCAGGGCUGAGGACGCCCAGUGAGGAGUCUAUACCCCCUAUCCUACAUCUUGCACUUCCCAAAGUGGUAGCAGACAGAGCCUUCCCCACCCCUCCAAGGUGAUUGUGGGACAUGUGCUUGGACACCUUGCUCUUGGACUCCUUGCUUGGGGGUGAAGAGAAAUGUCCCAGGACACCAGACCCUGGGACUCCUUGGGUGAAGGGGCAGGAGGCCCUGUGAGAGAAUGGCCAUGAGCCAGAGUGGAAGGAGUGUUUGUUGUGCCUGUACAUACAUGAUUGUGUGUGAUGGCAUCUAUGAUGUCAUUGUACGUCUAUA